rnacentral:rRNA from 1 species
GCGUAACGCGUAUACAAUCUACCUCUUGCUGAGGGAUAGCCCAGAGAAAUUUGGAUUAAUACCUCAUGGUAUUAUAGAUAGGCAUCUAUUUAUAAUUAAAGGUUACGGCGAGAGAUGAGUAUGCGUCCCAUUAGCUAGUUGGCGAGGUAACGGCUCACCAAGGCAACGAUGGGUAGGGGUCCUGAGAGGGAGAUCCCCCACACUGGUACUGAGACACGGACCAG